rnacentral:rRNA from 1 species
AAUAGAUACCCGGGUAGUCCAUGCCGUAAACGUUGGGAACUAGAUGUAGGGCCUGUUCCACGGGUUCUGUGUCGUAGCUAACGCAUUAAGUUCCCCGCCUGGGGAGUACGGCCGCAAGGCUAAAACUCAAAGGAAUUGACGGGGGCCCGCACAAGGCGGCGGAGCAUGCGGAUUAAUUCGAUGCAACGCGAAGAACCUUACCAAGGCUUGACAUAUAGAAGAACACUGCAGAGAUGCAGGACUCUUUGGACACUUCUAUACAGGUGGUGCAUGGUUGUCGUCAGCUCGUGUCGUGAGAUGUUCGGUUAAGUCCGGCAACGAGCGCAACCCUCGUCCUAUGUUGCCAGCACGUAAUGGUGGGAACUCAUGGGAUACUGCCGUGGUCAACACGGAGGAAGGUGGGGAUGACGUCAAAUCAUCAUGCCCCUUAUGUCUUGGGCUUCACGCAUGCUACAAUGGCCGGUACAAAGAGCUGCGAUACCGCGAGGUGGAGCGAAUCUCAAAAAGCCGGUCUCAGUUCGAGGUU